rnacentral:rRNA from 1 species
UUCCGGUUGAUCCUGCCGGAGGUCACUGCUAUUGGAGUUCGAUUAAGCCAUGCGAGUCAAUUCUUCGGAACUCGGCGGACUGCUCAGUAACACGUGGGUAAUCUAACCUAGGGUCAGGGAUAACCCCGGGAAACUGGGGAUAAUACCUGAUAGGUGAAACGUUCUGGAACGAUGCUUCGCUUAAAGCCCCGGCGCCCUAGGAUGAGCCUGCGUCCGAUUAGGUUGUUGGCGGUGUAAAGGACCACCAAGCCUGUGAUCGGUACGGGUGGUGAGAGCCAUAGCCCGGAGAUGGGGGCUGAGACACGGCCCCAGGCCCUACGGGGCGCAGCAGGCGCGAAAACUACGCAAUGCGCGAAAGCGUGACGUGGGAACUCCAAGUGCCUUGCCUUAGGGAAGGCUUUUGUAUAGUGUAAGUAGCUAUACGAAUAAGUGCGGGGUAAGACCGGUGCCAGCCGCCGCGGUAACACCGGCCGCGCAAGUGGUGGCCGCUUUUAUUGGGCCUAAAGCGUUCGUAGCCUGUCCUGUAAGUCCUUGGGUAAAUCCUUCGGCUCAACCGAAGGAACUCCGGGGAUACUGCAGGACUUGGAGUUGAGAGAAGUCAGAGGUACCUCUGGGGUAGGGGUGAAAUCCUAUAAUCCUAGGGGGACCACCAGUGGCGAAGGCGUCUGACUAGAGCAAGCUCGACGGUGAGGAACGAAAGCCAGGGGCGCGAACGGGAUUAGAUACCCCGGUAGUCCUGGCCGUAAACGCUGCACGCUAGGUGUUACGUCCUCUACGAGGGGGCGUAGUGCCGAAGAGAAGUUGAUAAGCGUGCCGCCUGGGAAGUAUUACCGCAAAGUAGAAACUUAAAGGAAUUGGCGGGGGAGCACCACAAGGGGUGGAGUCUGCGGUUCAAUUGGAUUCAACGCCGGA